CAUACACUUUGCUCCUUAUCUGUUUCUGAGACGUCUUACUGUCUGCAGUUUCUCCUCCUCCCCUCUGCAUUUAUGGAAAUCUGAAAACCAAAAGUAAACUUCACUCGUUUUCUGUCCAGCGGACGUUUGAGUCUCUCUUUGGGUCGCAUACGAUACGUGAGCAGACAUGUCGGCUGCACAGCCGCUCCUGGACGCUCUGGACGAGCUGUCGAGCAAAGACAUGGGGAGGUUCCAGUUUUUCCUCAACAUGCAGAUGGUGCCUGGCUGCAAACCAAUUUCCAAGCAGCGCCAGGAGGGCCAGCCCAGGGAUGUGAUUGUCGCUGUGAUGAUUGACCAGUACGGCGACGACUCGGCCGUGGAAGUGGCCAGUGCGAUUCUGGAGAGGAUUGGCUCCAACAACGUCAUGCGCAAACUGAACAGCGAUUAUGAGAAGGCGAAACAAUAGGGUCGAUCUGGAGCCCCCCUGCUCCUCCUCCACCUCCUCCUGCUCCAACCACAAUGUCGGCUCAACAAGGAAGUGUGAUCAUCAUGGAAAAACUCAUUUUUGCACUUCUUAAAUCCUUCAAUUAGCAUUUUUAAAUGGUUGACAGGUCAAAGGAAGGCUGUUAUGGAAAUUUCCACAUUUUCUGGUCACUUCAGUCAAAAGAAUAAUUGAAUAACGUCACACAACUGAUAAUACUCAUCCCUGUCUGUCAAACAUGGUAAUAAUAGAAAUGUUCAUGCUCUUGUCAUACAGUGACAUCUGGUGGCCAUCGAUGGUAUGUACCGAUACGUUUGAUAUAUGAGUUGCUUCUUAAUAUUUCACAUGACCAGCCAAAAAACUGAAAAGGAGCUACUUUAAUUCCGGGAAUUACAAUAGUUUGAUAUUAUAAGCAGGAAUUUGUUUUGUUUUGUUUUUAAAUGUGCAGAAAUAACUAUAUCACAAACGUUCCUGUCCACUCUGUCUACACAAAACUGAGACUAGAUGAUCACACAGUCCGUCAUGGACGCAUCGACACCGACAGCAUUUACAAUUCAGAUCCCCCACAACAUACAAAUGGCCAAAAACCUGAAAUCUUUUUGUACUUUUACAAUAAACGGAGGUGAAACAAG